UAAUUGAAGAGUUUGAUCAUGGCUCAGAUUGAACGCUGGCGGCAGGCUUAACACAUGCAAGUCGAGCGGUAGCACAAGAGAGCUUGCUCUCUGGGUGACGAGCGGCGGACGGGUGAGUAAUGUCUGGGAAACUGCCUGAUGGAGGGGGAUAACUACUGGAAACGGUAGCUAAUACCGCAUAACGUCGCAAGACCAAAGAGGGGGACCUUCGGGCCUCUU
rnacentral:rRNA from 1 species